CUGUGGCUGCAUAUGCCGCGGCGCAGGUCUUGCCGCCAGAGCUUGCUGCUCAAACUGGAGGAUUGCCGAGCACUCCUGUUGUGGACCUGAACGCCCGCCCUUUAGCCCAAGCGCAGCCUGAAGUGAGCAACUGAGUAAUUCCGACGACCUCGGGCUCCUAGAGUCAUUUGAGUAUCUUUGCAAGGAUCAGUUGUGCUUGUGAACCUCAGUGGAUUCAGAGUCCUCUGUGUCUCUAUGUGGUUUGAGAUGGCAAUUUGUGGAUGUGCAGGGGGAUGAGGAGCCAAUUGAGGACUUCAUUGAUGUUCCCAGCCUGCCAAGCCACGAUGCUGAGGAGGACACAAGAGACAGAGAGGCAGGGGAAAAGAGCAGAGGCCGCAGUCAGUUCAAGCGCCUGAAGCGGCUUUAUCAGCCAGAGACAGGUGCCACCUCUGCGUGGCCUGCUGUUUGUUAAGCCACCGUUAUUGCAGCCCUAUACCAAGCCCGGUUGAAUGUGCUAAAGUGGUCAUCAUGUGUGCAGAAGAGGAGGAUCCUGCGCCAGAGGAGGAUGCACCAGAGCUUGUUCCAGACAGCAGUGAGGAGAUUGGUGCACCAGCACACAGGCGGCGCCCUGA
rnacentral:lncRNA from 1 species